CGAAAUGUAAAGGGUAUACCCUUACUUUUUUGCUGUUUUUUGCCCAUUUACGAAAAAUGGGAAAAGUCGCUAAAAAUGGACGAAAAGUAAAGGCAAUAGCCUUGAAGUGGUUUAAGCCAGUUUUCCACAUCAAUCGAAACGCAUAGCGUAUUUAAUUGUUGUAUGAGCGUAGUGUGGAACUAAUGACUUCGACACAAAAGAGGCUUUAGUUUUUAGCUAUUUAAUAGUAAAGCAGUCGCAGACAUGUGCCGAAUUUUUAUAUGAACACAAACGCAGAUUCGCGCAGACUGUCUGAGACCGGAUCGGCGAUGGAUCGGGAAAGUUGAACUUGGUUCAACUUUCUCGAUCCGUCGCAGAUCGUUCAUAUAAAAAUUCGGCACAUGUCUGCAACAGUCUGCGACUGCUUAACGAUUUUAUGUGAACCAGGCUUAAAGCAAAUGAUCAUGGCGUUUACUUUUUUAACAAAAACAUUUUUACAGAACAAAUUAAAUCAUGAAUGAAAAAUCCGCAAUCUUGAAAUUAUUUUUGAGUCACUAUUUCAAAUGACAAUUUCACUGACAAACAUUGUAAGCUUGUACCAAAUGGACAACUUGGCAACUUGCAUGUUAGACUAAAUUUUAAUCUAAAUAAAGCGAUGGGAAUCAAACACCACAGCUUAGAACACUUAUUAAAGUUGCAAAAUUUGUUUCCGAAAUGUGGUAAAACUCGGAAAAUAUAGCCUUGCAAAGUUUCCAAAUUUUGUAUAUGUUUGUAUUGCGGAAAUAAAUGGUAACAAUUUCCGCAUGUAAUACAAAGUACAGUAUACCAAAAGCAUAAAAUUAAAUAGUUGGGUUCAAUACCACAUGAUACUACAGUACCUUUUGCUUUGCCUGUGAGCACAAGCAUUACUAUUUUCGCUCUAUUUCCUUCUCUUUUUCUUCAUAUUUGAAACAGUUUUGUUUUUUUUGCUGGGCACUUGAACUUCGUUGUCUUCAUCAUUAUCUUGACGAGGGCGUUUCCUUUUAUCUUCCAUUUCUCGCAUUUCCUACAAAUUUGAAAUUUGCAAUAAUCGUCUGCAUUGAACUCUAACAUUUUUGCAACUUGCACUUUUUGGGGCACUCGGAC